GUGGGUGAGGGUUUGGUUCCUCUUUCCCACAUCCCUUCCAGCAUCUGUUGUCAGUUGUCUUAUUGGUCAUAGCCAGGUUGUCUGGAAUAAGAUGAAAUCUCAAGGGAUGGGAGUGAUUCCAAUUCAGUGGUAACCAAGAAAGCAUGCAAAUAAGACUCCUGUGCUGGGCCUGCAUGGCUAAUGUUAUUGGAAAUAGACCUGAGGGUGUGAGGCUGAUGGAGCCUAUCCAAUUAUUAACCCACCAAUAGAUUAAUCGACUGAUGAGCCCUCAUGAUCCAAUCAUUUCUCCAAAUCUCUGCCCAUGAUGAAAACUGCUCCACUGGCGAUCAAACUUCAACAUAGGAGCCUUUCAGGGAUAUCCUAGAACAAAACAACAGCAGAGGAGUCCCGUUUCUACAAGGCUUGGAUUCUCACAUAAGGUUGCAGUCAGGCUAUUCAAUGAAGCUGCUGUCCUGUGGUGAUUGGUGUUGCUGAAGAACUUCUUCUAAGCUCACUUCUCAGUUCCUGUGUCUUGCCUCCAGACAUUACUUCAGGCCACUCAGGGCUCCUUUGGUCACAAGAGCUGAUUUCCUUUAGUGAAUGAUGCUAGAGACAGAUUGAAGGACCUCAAGAGAGAAGCCACAGUCUUCUAUUGCUAAUCUUGUAAGUGACAUAUACUGUAUGAGUCCCCCAUUGCAGCUGUGACAAGUGGCCUCUGAUUUAGCAGUUUAAACAACACAAAUGUAUUGUCUUAUAUUCUGGAGAUCAAAAGUUCAAAGUAAGUUUUACUGAGCUAACAUCAGGGAUUGGUAUGUUUGUGUCUUUUUCAGGAUCUUUAGUUAAAAAAAAACAAACCAAAACUUCACUUUCUUGUACUUUGUAGUUUCCAGACGUCAUCUGUCAUCUAUGACUGGUAACCCUUCUUCUAUAUUCAAAUCAUUACCUUAACAUCUUAUAAUCUCUGACUGACCCUUUUCUUUAAGGAUCAUUUGAUUAUAUUAAGACUAUCUGUAUAACCUAGCCUACUUAAAAAAUUGUCAUUGAAUCACUACCCUCAGAUUGCUAGCCAGGUAAUAUAUUCAUCAAAAUAGCAAUGCAUGAUUGGGGCUUAGCUUGCUGCAAUAGUCGAGGAGCUGUUCUUCUGCACCUUGCAUGUGUGAUCACUUUUGCCAUAUGUGGUUGGUUACAUAAACAGACAUGGGAAAAUGUAGAAGAGGGCUCCACAGGGAAUCAUCAUCAGGAAGAGAGCAUGGUCCAGCUUCAACUGGCUACUACAAUUUGGGCACAUGAUUGCUCUGUUACUCUGAAUAGAAUUACUUCUUUAAAAUAAAUACAAAAAUUGAAGCCUUGACAAUUAUUAAUAAAAAUGUUGACAAAACUACCAUUCAUUAUUAAGUGCCUCACAGGUAGUAGGUACCAUACAAGCUUUCUAUAAAAUAUUCCUAAUUCCAAAAUUGAAGGAUCCAUUUUAUAGAUAAAUAUACAGGGUCAAAGAAGAAAGUUUUUGAGCCUAUGCCAUGAUCAAAUGUCAGGGUUUAUGCUUUCCUGUUCAUCUUCAACACUAACUAUUCACAUUCUCACACAAGUUGCUUGGUGCUCCUGACUAAGUUUUACUGAGGAUCAUUACUUUAUCCAGAUUUAUUCUGAAAGAGUUAAAAACACAAACGCUCAUACCGUUUAUUAUCAAAACCUGUGUAGCUCAGCAUAGGCCCAGUGACACAUGGCAUAAGUACAUUUUGUAAAAUGGCAUGCUCGCACAUUCCAAUGGAAUACCUUUGUUCUUGGCUAUUGCACAGCAUAAGGCUUCAUGUAAAUUUUCUAAGUAAAUUUUAAUCUAGUCAUAUAUGCCACCCACUGACAUACCAUAAAAAAAGAUCGUUUAUACUUAGACAUAUCCUUAAUUCACCGAGCACCUAGAGAAAUCUACCUUGUUGAACACGCACAAGGGCAAAUGAUUGCUUCUUUUCGCCACUUGCUCCCUUUCUUUUCUUUCCACCUAUGCACAAAGCCAAAUCACCUCAUUCCUUCUUCGACAGUUUCAUUAUGUUGACAGGGAUACUAGACAUGGAGAGUCACUCUCCAAUUGAUGACCCGUUGGCACCCGUGUGUAUAAUCCCAUUUCUCACGGGGCACAUGUGACUCUGGGAAAUGCUAUUGGAGGAAUGUGGAGUCACUGGAGAAAAGACUAUGCUCAACAGAGUGCUCUAUUUUUAAAAGGAUGAAGCGACUAAAACAUGUGCACCACCACAGAGGAGUUAAGGUGAGUCAGGUGGCCCCAAGGAUGUAAGUACCCGUGCAACACACUAUAUAAGUGUCACAGCAGCUCCUUUUCUUUACUCCCUAAAUUGAACAGAAUCCUGUCCAGUUUUUCUUGGUUUUUCACUUUCUGAGAUGAUUACACAUGCAUAUGUUUAUUCAUUUACUUAAGAAGUUUGGAGUGAAGCCAGACUACAUGUAGAAUGGAGGCAGGUAGAAAAUAGCUUAGCAAGCCAGGACUCUGCAUGGCAUAUAUCUCCUCACCUGAGACCUGUACCUGCACCAAGCUGUAUAUAUGCCCUACUCCAGACAAUACUCCUCCUUUAGCAACUUCUGAAUAGCUCUUUUUGUGAUCAAGCAUAUUCUGGAAUGUGUAUCUGGAAACUAUGGAUACUGUGCUGAACUGGACUGGACUGGUUUUGGGUGUAUGUACAGUUGAGCAAACUGUGUCCUCUGAGUGAAUUAUUGGGGGAAAAUUUCCCCUACUGACCAUCUUGUGCCUAGGCAUAAUUUGGAGCACAUAUGAUGUUUUUUUUUAAUUGCAUCACAAAAAAGGGAAUCCCAAAAAGAGAACGAUGUACAUAACCCAGCCUGCCAAUCAAAAUGGGGAACAAUCUCCCCUAUGACUUUCAGCAACCCUCUCCUCCUCUCCCUAGAGUCCAUAGAAGAAAGCCCAAAAUGAUAACUGCUGUUCUUGGGUACUGUACCUCAAGUAGCUCUCAAUUCCCUUGCAGUGUUUCUGCUGCUGCUUCUUUAAAUAAAGCUUACUGCUUUUCUAUUUGUGUGUGCGUUAAGCUUUUUGCAUAAGAUCCUAAGAGCUUGGAAACACCCAAUCUAGACAAGACUACCAGCAACAGAACAACAUUAGAAACUUGCUCAAGGUCAGGCCUUCCAGUAUGUAGACUUAGAAUAAUUUCCUUCCCUCACAGCAUCCUAUAGAAGGAAAGGUUAGUUUACGGUAUGAAUGCCAUCAUUGCUCUUGUCCAUGGUUCCUGUGGUGACAACGGACCACUGAACUCUUCCCAAAUAACUACUGAAUUUGUCUUAACAUGGCACUCCCAUGCUGCUCCCAAAAAGAAGUUUGGGGAAGGAAAGCCAGAUAUGCUGAGGUAAUCACUACUGGAUAAUUCUGUAGGCACCAUUAUGUCUUUGAGAAAGAAAAGUCUAAAACAAAACCCAUUACUGUCACAGUUCAAUAAUACAGUGUUCUUGCCCUCAAAGGGGGCUCACUGAGUGUCAGUAAGAUGGUCUUGAGAUGCUGACACUGAAGAGAAAGCUUAGGAAACCAGGAGAGACAGACAAACGCAAAUGGUUUAAAUGAUGAAGUUAUUUCAUAUUCAACAGAAGAUAAGGAAAGGGGCUGGUAAGGAUGAGUACCUAUAAUAUUCAACUACUACAGAAGAUUUCCUUUUGGGGAACCAGUGAUUGAACCAGGGCCUUGCAUAUGCCAAGUAUAUAGUUUCCUAACUGAACAAUAUCCCCAGGCCUAGUUAGUCAUCAUUGUCUUAUUUGUCAUCAUCUUUCUCUUCUUCCUUUCCCUCUUCUUCUCCUUCUUCUUCCUC